rnacentral:lncRNA from 1 species
ACUUUGGAUCUUCAUCUGUAGGGGUGGAUCCGGCCUCUCGCGUUCUCCUCCGUCCUCUCUCGGUUCCCCUUGAUUCCUGCGGGGUCCAGGGACCCGGACAGCUUGGGGACGUCCGCAGAGCCUGGGUUCGAGUUCUUUACCCUUAUCAUGAAGUUUUCCCUCAUCCCCAGCUCCACUUGCUGGGCAGAGUUGUUCUUGCGGAGGCUGGCAACGCGUCAGUCGCAGGUUCGCCGAGGUUUCUUGGUGAAAGAUGAGCUGCGGCCCCAGAGUGGAAGCUUAAUCAUUCUCUUUACCAGGGGCGCUGGGACGGCGUCAGUUUGAAAAACCUGAGAGCAGGUGUUGCUUAUGUUGUUUUAUGGCCAGUUUGGCAUUUGUCUGCUAAUCUGCUGUAGCGUUUCAUGUAAUAAUACGGGUAUUUCUAGUCGGCAAAUGAAACUUUAUUCUUGGUUCUUGGCCCGCUGAUUGAGGGAACUGCAUUCUCACAAGCAUCAGGUGGCUUUUUCUCAAGUAUAUUUUCCAGUCUGUUUGGAACUCGGGAAAUGAGAAUUUUAAUUUUGGGAUUAGAUGGAGCAGGAAAAACCACAAUUUUG